UACGUAGGGGGCAAGCGUUGUCCGGAAUUAUUGGGCGUAAAGAGCGUGUAGGCGGUCCGGUAAGUCAGCUGUGAAAGUCAAGGGCUCAACCCUUGAAAGCCGGUUGAUACUGCCGGACUAGAGUUCGGAAGAGGUGAGUGGAAUUCCCGGUGUAGCGGUGAAAUGCGCAGAUAUCGGGAGGAACACCUAUGGCGAAGGCAGCUCGCUGGGACGUUACUGACGCUGAGACGCGAAAGCGUGGGGAGCAAACAGG
rnacentral:rRNA from 1 species